UAAGGCAACAAGGUAACUUACUUUUUUAAGUUAAACCAACCAUAAUUUUUACAGUGAAGAUCUAAGGAUACAUAUUUAAACAUGCUCAUGUAAUCGUUUCUUGUGAUUCAGAUUCAGUGUCGUGAGGAAGAGGAGGAGUUCAGCACAGACCCUAUACAGCUGAUAAAGAUGAGCUUCACAACACUGUGGAGCAGCUGCGGUUCUUGCCAGUUUAGUGAAAGAACAUGUUGAUCUACAUUGUGAUAUUGCUGUCAUCAGCUGAAGGUUCCAGAUCCACAGAAGUCAUCACUCCAAAAAGCGUCAGAGUAUUUGCACUUGAGGGUGACAAUGUGACGCUCUCUUGUAACUACAGCAUUUCUGUUCGUGGUGUUCACUGGUAUCGCCAAUACGCAGGUUCACCACCACAGUUCCUCAUACUGGAAGAUUCAGGAGUAACUACUCCAGCUGAUCCACCCGUUCCAAGAAUAACCAUCAAUCACAGAAAAGAGAAAAGUCAUGUGGAUCUGAUCAUCUCCUCUGCUGCAGUAUCAGACUCUGCUCUGUAUUACUGUGCUCUGAGGCCCACAGUCACAGGAAACACAAGAACACUGUACAAAAAACAGUUUCAUAUGCUUAUCAAACCUUGAAAUGUACAUACAAACUACAGCUGGACUCAACAACACAAAUGUCAAAAAGACACAACAGUUACUGAUACUAGUGGAAUUGUCAAGUAACAUAAUGUAAAUUAUAAACUGGCUUUACUGGUACACUGCAAAUCAUGAUUUUCCUUAUAUACUUUGAAUAAGGUUUAUUUUUAUCACCCCAUUGGCAUGUAUUUUUUCUUGUUUUAAACUUAAACUCACUGAAUUUUGAUAAAUUAUUCAGAAAACUAGACUUUUUGUUGACAAGUUGUUUUGUUUCUUGAGUAAAUGUUUCUUGAUUUAAUAAUUUUAAGAUAUGUGUACUGGAAACAAGACUAAAAUACAGAGUUAAAAGCCCAACAUGGACUUGUUCACUUUUUACCCGAACACAAGGGUCAGAGACAGUGCGUGUGACACAGAUUUCGUUAUCAGAAGAGUACACACGUACUGUACAUGCAGCGCCAGAUUUCUGAAACUGUGUCACAGAUUGCACAUGCACAUUAUGCACAAGGUAGUCGAAGAAAAAAUCCAUAAACAGAACAGACUUGAACGCAUAGAAGCUACAGCGAUGAUGGAGGCCUAGAUGAGAGAUUGUGUGAAGAGGUUAGAAAGUACCCUCAUUUGUACAACUCUAGCAUGAAAUAAUACAAAGAUGUUUACAUGUGUUGUAACUCAUGGCAAGAGAUUGCUCAAAACUGAGCAUGUGUUGAACACCUGUGUAUGUGUACAAGUC